CGGGGCGUAGCGCAGCUUGGUAGCGCACUUGCAUGGGGUGCAAGGGGUCGGAGGUUCAAAUCCUCUCGUCCCGACCA
rnacentral:tRNA from 2 species